rnacentral:lncRNA from 1 species
UCCAUUCGAGUACAUUCCAUUCCAUUCGAGUCCAUUCCAUUCUAUUCCAUUCAAAUCCAUUCCAUUCCAUUCCAUUCCUUUUGAUUCGAGUCCAUUCCAUUUCAUUCAAGUCCAUUCUGUUCCAUUCCACUCCAUUCGAGUGCAUUCCAUUCAUUUCCAUUCCAUUCCAUUCCUUUUGGGUCCGUUAAAUUCAACUGCAUUCCAUUCCAUUCCGUUCCAUUCCAUUCCAUUCCAUUCGGGUCCAU